AGGAAAAUUAAGCCAACAGAUCAAGUGGAACAAAGCCAAUAAAGAAAUAAACAGCUAAUAAGAAGGGAGGCCUUCAUUUCUUCCAAAAUUACAUCAACCAUAUUUACAUAUCUAGAAUCAAGGAUAUGUACCUGGAAAUUGAAAGGAAAAAGAAGUGAGGAAGCAGUAGAUAGCAGCAGCACAGAACCCAGCAAAAGGGAACCAAAACCAGCAAAACCAACUCGAAAUAUGCAAUGGAACAGUAAUUCCCAAGCAAACCCAAAACCAACUUCAAACCAGAUUCAAGCCAUUUCUCAACUUCAACAAUACGAAUAUAGAGUUUUCAAGAGUUCUACGCAACAGAAGAAUCAGAAAUCCAAAAAAUCAAAAGCAGAAUUUUUGGCAGUUUUUAAUAGGGAAUGCAGAAUUUCAGAAAUUUCUAAAGACGUCAGCCGUUUCAGCUUUUCAGGGGUUUGUUUGUCUCUAAAAUUUGACUUGAGCUUGAAGAAAAGGUGCCUUUAUAGGCAAGGUUUUAGGGAAGCAAUGCUGAAAACAAUUUUGCACUUUAAACCUUUUGAAAUUUUUAUUUUAGCUUGGAUACCCUUAGUUCAGAAAUCAAGCUUUCAAAUUAACCCCAAUCCCAGCUUCCUAGAAGCUUCCCAAGUCUGUUACUGAGAUUCCCUUACCCUAGAUUUCCUAAUUUACCCCUUAAUACCCCUAUUUUUACUUCCAAACAUCAGCAGACAAAUGACCCAAAGGCCUUGGGCUAAACGGUUAGCAAAUUCUAUAGCCUUUUGGGCUUCUGAACCUUUGAGGCCCAUAUUGUGAUAAGAAAAUCACAGGCCGCAAAACAAGUGAGCCCAAACCAUUCCGCCAUUUUGGCAUCAAAAGAAAAAAUUAAUGGAAUAGAUAAAAAGAAACAACAAAAUGAAAUCAAGAUACUAAAGAAGAAAAAUGUUGAUAAUUAACUAAUGUGACUUGAAUCUUAAACAUGCAAUACAUUUAUUAAGACUAACAAAAGCAGAAAAACAAAAGAACUAAUAAGAAACACACAAUAUGCAAAUUGAAAUGCAUACAAGGGCGGACAGAAAGAAAAUAGGAGAUAGAAAGGGGGGGGAGACAGAGGUAGAGGAACAUGAGAAAAGUAUAACAGAAAAAUGAAGAAAGGCGAAGAAAUACCUAAAAUAUUAAACAGGAAAAGGGCUUGAACGGCUUCAGUGUUCUCCGAUUUGGCGCGAAGAGGAGUGUUAGUCGAUUUGUUCUUGAAAGAACAAAUGUCUAACACUCAUUUUGGCCCUAAAUCAAACUCGAAAGCUCAGAGAGUAACGGGGUUAGACUUUAAAAUGAGGGAUCGAAGGGGGAUACAAAUCUAGGGUUCCGGUUUUAAAAUCUGAAAUUAAGGAGAAGGGGAGAAGAUUCAGGGUAAAAUGGUUGUGGUUUAGUGUUUAAGGGGCUAUGGGGACUAUGUGGUCGAGACUUGGUGGCGAUUUGGAGAUGUCUCGCCGGUGACAAUGGCGGAUUCACUCAAAGGCGGCGUUAUCUGAUGAGGGAGAUGAGAGAAGGGUUUGU
rnacentral:lncRNA from 1 species